GAUGAACGCUGGCGGCGUGCCUAAUACAUGCAAGUCGAGCGAACAGAUGAGGAGCUUGCUCCUCUGACGUUAGCGGCGGACGGGUGAGUAACACGUGGAUAACCUACCUAUAAGACUGGGAUAACUUCGGGAAACCGGAGCUAAUACCGGAUAAUAUAUUUAACCGCAUGGUUCAAUAGUGAAAGACGGUUUUGCUGUCACUUAUAGAUGGAUCCGCGCCGCAUUAGCUAGUUGGUAAGGUAACGGCUUACAAAGGCAACGAUGCGUAGCCGACCUGAGAGGGUGAUCGGCCACACUGGAACUGAGACACGGUCCAGACUCCUCGGGGAGGAAGCAGUAGGGAAUCUUCCGCAAUGGGCGAAAGCCUGACGGAGCAACGCCGCGUGAGUGAUGAAGGUCUUCGGAUCGUAAAACUCUGUUAUUAGGGAAGAACAAAUGUGUAAGUAACUAUGCACGUCUUGACGGUACCUAAUCAGAAAGCCACGGCUAACUACGUG
rnacentral:rRNA from 1 species